rnacentral:rRNA from 1 species
AGUCUAAACGACUCUCGGCAACGGAUAUCUCGGCUCUCGCAUCGAUGAAGAACGUAGCGAAAUGCGAUACUUGGUGUGAAUUGCAGAAUCCCGUGAACCAUCGAGUCUUUGAACGCAAGUUGCGCCCGAAGCCUUGGCUGAGGGCACGUCUGCCUGGG